ensembl:lncRNA
CGGGGGGUCUGGGCGGGCGUUUUUAACUUUGGAGGCCACCUAUCUGUUGGCUGGCCAUGUACAUAUUCUUACGGUUGAUGCUUCCUGCCCAAAGGACAUACUUGGGGUGUGAGGAGUGCUGUCUACUUCUUGGGGCCCUGAGGAUGACCCUGCAACCCCCAUAACACCCUGCUUCCCACCGGUUUUUAGCGUCCUAUCCUCCUGUUGUGCAUCACCCCCAACAUUCCAGACCUGUUGCCUACUCCCUUCUGUACACGCAGCUCAUCAGCACUAGUCGCUGUCUCUGUGAUUUCUGUAAAAGUUGCCAUAAAACUGAAAUUUUGCCUGGGAAAACGGCCUCCCUGUGGGAGGUUGGAAUUCACGACGAGAGAGCUAAUGAAGUCUUUAAGAUUUGGGCAACUGGAAAAUACACGAAGUAACCUGGGUUUUUCCAUGUUCCCAGCAUCCUCUGCAGGACACGCCCGCUUGCACCAGCCACUCUGAAGGUCCGCCCAGAGCUUCCCUUCUCCACGCCCCCACUUAUUACCCUGGAGCUUCACUAGCCACGCCCCCAUCCGUCACCCAAGAGCUUCCCUGGCCACGCCCCCACCCAUCACUCAAGCGCUUCCCUGGCCCCGGCCCCACCCACCCAGAAACUUUCCAUAGCCAUGCCCCCAUUCCCUCCGCCACAAACUUCUAUGUCAUCGGGUAUCCUGGGAACACAAAAGAGGAUCCUGCGUUGCCUGAGGAAGAGAGCUGGGGUUGAUGGGUUUCCUAAAGAAAUCAGGUAACUUUCUCAGAGAAUUUGUGUGUGUGUGUGUGUGUGUGUGUGUGUGUGUGUGUGUGUGUCCUGAUAAAGGGCACGGCCUGUUUAAAAGUGUCCAGCCUUGUGAGUUAAUGACUGGUUGUCUUGCAAGUGGUUGAAUCCUCCAGGCGAGAAUGGAGUGUCGACACGUGGGGAGUGGAUCUGGGAGGGAGGGACUGGACAGUGUGAAGAAUUUCCAGCCCGGAGAGUGAGGGCUUGGAGAGCCAAGUGGGGAUGAGUACAAAGGACAGGCUUAGAGGAUUCAGGUGAGUUCAUGCCGAACGUGAGAUGCCUGUGAGACAUCUAGAGGGUGAAGAGACAUCGGUGGGGACACCUUGAGCUCAGCCCAGGGAGCUGCACUUGAGAGAGAUUCAGGAUUUGUUGGCAAGGAGGUGUCACCAAGCCACCGGAGGGGGUGGGGCUGCCCUGGGGUCUGGGUAGCAGAAGAAAGCAGUGGCCUUGAGGACCCCUAACAUCUAAGGGCCACAUGGAAGGUGGGAGACCUGUCGAGGAGAAGAAGCCAGAGAGGUUGAUGGGAAGCCAAGUUCCUGGGUGGCGUGGGGCCGUGGCCAGGGAAGCGCUUGGGUGAUGCCAAGAGAAGUUUCUAGAAUGAGGGCAUGGUCAGCAGGACCCAAGGCUGUGAAGAAGUGGAGGAAGAUGAGAGCUUAGAGGCUCCCCUUGGGUUUAGAUCUUGAUGUAAGCAGUUGAGGGGAGAAUGUGGGAGCAGAAGUCAGACUGAAGUAGAGUGAGGAGUGGGUAGAAGGUGGGGAAGCUGACUCCGAGCAUGUAGAUCAGAGUUGGGAGAAUCUUGAGAGAGAGUUUCUAGAGGGAGUUAUGGGCCUGAGAGGGCUUUUCCUGCAAGGUGGGAAGAGGAGUGGGGCAAGAGGGCACUGAAGGCAAGGGGUCUGAAGCUGGUGAGAACAGUGCCAACAGUGGCGGGCACUAAGGAGGGCCAUGAUGCUGGCACUGUGCUGGGCUCAGCCUUACGUGGUCUGCCACCAGUCCUGAGUCAAUUCCUUCUACUGAGGCAACUGAGGCUCAGAGAGAGGAAGCAACUUGCCCACAGUCCCACAGCGAGGAAGGGCAGAGAUGACGUCCAGGGUGCAGAGCAGGAGCAGGACACCUCUAAUUCUACCAGACGUGAACCAGGACAGCAGGGACAGAGGCAGGGAAAGGAAAAGGAGUGAGGUCUCUGUUUCAAACAGGGGCGUUUCCGGGGCUUGGGAUGUGGACACAAAAGAGCAUUACAGAUGCCAGUUCACCCAACCAGCAAUGCCAUGUUCCUCGCCUGGAUACAAGGGGUUCCCAGGGGCAGCUUGGGAGCGGUUUGAAUUCUUUGUCGUAGGAAAUGACAGAGCAUAAUGCUUCACUGUCUCAGUUCCUUCAUCUGGAAAAUGGGGAUAAUAGAAUAAUAAGAUGGGGCUUCCCUGGUGGCUCAGAUGGUAAAGAAUCUGCACGCAAUGGGGCAGACUUGGAUUCAGUCCCUGGGUCAGGACGAUCUCCUGAAGAAGGGAAUGGCUACCCACUCUGGUAUUCUCGCCUGGGAAAUCCCAUGGACAGAGGAGCCUGGCAGGCUACAGCCCAUGGGGUCACAGAGUUGGCGAUGACUGAGCGACUUUAACAGUUUCACUUUCAAUAAUAAUAGGAACUAACAGUGCCUAAUAAUAAUAAGAACUAAUAAUAAGAAGUCCCUGUUUCACAGGAUUAUUGUAUUGUAUUUAAUUGUAUGAUUAUUGUAUUAAAUAUACAUAUAUAUAUUUUUAGACUAAUACCUAACAACAGUAAGAGCUUAGGCAAGAAGGUCAGGGGGCUACAGAAGAUGAGAUGGUUGGAUGGCAUCACUGACUCAAUGGACAUUAAGUCUGAGCAAACUCUGGGAGAUAGUAAAGGACAGGGAAGCCUGGUGUGCUGUAGUUCAUGGGGUCCCAGAGACUCGGAUACGACUUGGUGAGUCAACAACAAAGCAAGAGCUUAGGAGGUGGGAAUAGUUAUACUUUCCAGUUUAUUUGCUCAUUUACACACAUACACCCCAUCCAGGAACAACUAGCCUCAAAAGGACAGAGAAAUGCAAGACUUCCAUGACCUGCUUUGUCACCUGAGUCCCAGUUCAAUCAUCAAGCCCAGGGGACAAGAAAUAGACAGGGGGAGUAUGCCUUCCUCUCCCUGCAGACCCUGGGAUUCUUUCAUCCUCUUGUCCAUUGGGUGCCUGCCUGUGUCUGGCACCGUACAUGGGACACUGCAGUAACCAAAAUGUCGCUGGGCCCUGUUCUUCCCAGGCUGACAGUGUGGUGGAGGGGACAGAUGCCCAACAGGGUGCCAGAGGGACUUGCCAGGGUGCCACAAGAGGGCAAGGACUCUGUAGUAAGACACCGCAGGACGCCCAUGUCACCGAACUGGGUGACUUAGGCAAGGGUUAAAAAGGAGAUAUUAACAAGGCUGUGCACAGUAUAGGGAAACAGACAAGGGAUGGUGGGCAGUCUGGGGCUAGAAGAUAAGAUGUUCCCACUCCUAUCCUGCCGGGCUGGUUUCUGGAAUCUGGAGAGGUGCUCUAUGUAAGCCCUCUUAAGUGUAAAAUGUUAGUCGCUCAGUCGUGUCCAACUCUGCGACCCCAUGGACUGUAGCCCGCCAUGUUCCUCUGUCCAUGGAAUCCUCCAGGCAAGAAUACUGGAAUGGGUUCCCAUUUCCUUCUCCAGGGGAUCUUCCCAACCCAGGGAUCAAACCUAGGUCUCCCGCAUUUGCAGGCAGAUUCUUUACCCUUUGAGCCACGAGGGGAGCCCUGUAAGAGCUCCCUUAUUCAUAUUUUUAUUAAUAGCAAUUAGGUAUGAGUUUAGAUGUGACUAGCAGGGAUCCAAAAUAGUAGUGGUUUAAGUAAAAUUAGAAUUUACUUCUCUCUUGUGUAACAGUUACAGCUGGGUCUGCAGCUCUAUUUCAGGAAAGUGAACGUGUUAGUCGCUCAGUCCUGUCCGACUCUUUGCAACCCCAGGGACUGUAGCUCCUCUGUCCAUGGGAUUUCCCAGGCAAGAAUACUGGAGUGGGUUGCCAUUCCCUUUUUCAGGGGAUCUUCCUGACCCAGGGAUUGAACCCAGGUUUCCUGCACUGCAGGCGGAGUCUUUCCUGUCUGAGCUGCCAGGGAAGCAGCAAAGCAGCUGCUCUACUAGUCACUCUGACAGAGCUGGUCUAUGACCCUCAGCUAUGUGGUCCAAGAUGGCGCACCUCCGUGACGUCAUCAUGCCGCCGGAAGGAGGGAGAGGGGAGGAGAGGUCCCGGAUCCACCGUCCUCUGCAAGGCUUUGACCCAGGAGUUCCACGUAUUGCUUCCUUCGACAUGUUAGUGUCCAGGUCUGAACCAUCUGGCUUCACUGAGCUGGAAGAGGAGCUAGGGAAAAUAUCGUUUUAGUUCUGAGUCAUCUUGCUAAAAGUCAUAGAGGAUUUUGAAAGAAAGAUGAGAGAUUGGAUGUUGAGGAGCAAUGGACAGUCUCUUCUGCAGAAAGCUUUGCAGAAACUCAUAGAGUUGAUGCUCUGAAAAGCAAUCAGAUUCUAGGUAUGAAAUCACCACUGAAAUUAAUGCCAAAGAGCCCCAGAUUCUUUGUAUCGCCCGCUCUUUAAACCUUCUCAUUUUGUAUUGGGGUAUGGCCGAUUAACAAUGUGAUAGCUUCAGGUGAACAGCGAAGGAACUCAGCCAUACAUAUACAUGUAUCCAUUCUCCCCCGAACUCUCCUCCCAUCCAGGCUGCCACACAACACUGAGCUGAGUUCCACAUGCUAUACAGUAGGUCCUUGUUGGUUAUGCAUUGUAAAUAUAGCCAUGUGUACAUGCCCAUCCCAAACUCUCUAACUAUCCUUUCCCCGAUCCUUCCCCCGCUCUGGCACCCAUCAGCUUGUUGUCUAAGUCUGUGCAUCACCUGUUCCGAGAUUAAGGUCUUCAUCUGGAUCCAGUCCUGAUCCUCUAACGUUCCCAGACUCUGAAAUGCGCAUUUCCUCUGCUUCAUCUGUCUUAACAGUUCCCUGAGUCCUUAAUCUAUUUCAUCCAAAUAAAUCUUCAGCCUAAAACCUCCCCUUAAUCCCUCAAUUUCCUCACCCACCUUUCUGUGACAGUCCAAGCAUCUCAUCCUGGGUACGUGUUGUUACCUAACAACCACCCCAAACUUAGCGACUUAAAAAUGACAAGUUGUUAUCUCUUGUGGUCUUGUGGUUGGCCCCAGUUCACUUAGCCUCUCUGGGUGGACUUGGGUUCUCUCACAAUUGUGAUCAGCUGUCAGAUGAGACUACAGUUAUGAGGGCAACCCACUAACUCCUAAGAUAACUUCCUCGCGUGGCUGACAGUUGAUGCUGACUGUCAGCUGAAAGCUGAGCUGGGGCUGUUGACCGGAGCCGGUGUCUUUCUUGACAAUUUCUGUUUCCCUUUCUUUUGUAUCUUGUCUGUGCACUGCUGUCUCCCUCCCCACCACGCUGUCUGUUUCUUUCCAGAGGUCUCUGUCUCUCUUUGAUGCUGUCUCCUCCAUUUCCUUAAUUUCCCCUCUGUGUAUCUCUGCUUUGCUUUCUCGAUUGUGUCUUCAUGCCUUCCCUCUUUCUCUCUCUCUUUCCAAGUGUCAGUCUCCCCCCGCCCCCCACCUCCCCCGUGUCUGCGUCUCUCUGUGUGUAACAGUUAUCUAUGACUGAGCAGCAAACCAUUCUGAAACUUGGUGGCUUAAAACAAUGAUCCUCACAAUUCUGUGUGUUGCUGCUGGUGGUGGCUGAGGUCACCGUGUGGCUGCAUUCAUCUUGGAGCUUGGCUGGGGUUCGAACGUCCAAGGUGCCUUCAUCUGUGGCUGGCAGUGGGUACUGUCCGUGGGCUGGGCCACUUCAGCUCUCCCUGGAGCCCCCUUGGCUAAGUGAACUCUUUAGGGCAUCGUAUCUGGAUUCCAAGAGAGCUGCUUUGAAAGCUGUAAGCCCAUGUCUGCCAUAUCCCCUGGGUCAAAGCAAGUCACAGGAUUCAAGGGGCGGGGUAAUAGACACCACCUCUCAGUGGGUGGAGAGGGUGCCUGGAAGAAGGGGAGGAGUUGUUGGAGACCAUCCGUGGUAGGCUGAAUGAUAGACACCCCCUCCCCCCCACUGCAAGAAGAUAUCCACGUCCUGAUUUCUGGAGACUGUGAAAUGUGUUCACUCAUAAGGGGGAGACAGACAGGAGACAGUGCCACGCACAGAGGAGGAGGCUGUGUGGAGAUGGGGCAGAGAUUUGAAGAUGCUGGCCUUGAAGAUUGGAGCAAUGUGGCCACAAGCGAGGGAAUGCUGCAGCCCCCAGAAGCUGGAAGAGGCAAGGAACUGAUUGUCCCCUGGAACCUCCAGAGGGGUUGUAGCCCUGCUUGAUUUUGGCCCAUGGGGACUGAUUUUGGACUUUCAGCUUCUGGAACUGUGAGAGAAUAAAGCUGUGCUGUUAUAAGCC